rnacentral:rRNA from 1 species
UUAAGCGACUAAGCGUACACGGUGGAUGCCCUGGCAGUCAGAGGCGAUGAAGGACGUGCUAAUCUGCGAAAAGCGUCGGUAAGGUGAUAUGAACCGUUAUAACCGGCGAUGUCCGAAUGGGGAAACCCAGUGCAAUUCGUUGCACUAUCGUUAACUGAAUACAUAGGUUAACGAGGCGAACCGGGGGAACUGAAACAUCUAAGUACCCCGAGGAAAAGAAAUCAACCGAGAUUCCCCCAGUAGCGGCGAGCGAACGGGGAGCAGCCCAGAGUCUGAAUCAGCUUGUGUGUUAGUGGAACGGUCUGGAAAGUCCGACGGUACAGGGUGAUAGUCCCGUACACCAAAAUGCACAGGCUGUGAACUCGAAGAGUAGGGCGGGACACGUGGUAUCCUGUCUGAAUAUGGGGGGACCAUCCUCCAAGGCUAAAUACUCCUGACUGACCGAUAGUGAACCAGUACCGUGAGGGAAAGGCGAAAAGAACCCCGGCGAGGGGAGUGAAAAAGAACCUGAAACCGUGUACGUACAAGCAGUGGGAGCACCUUCGGGUGUGACUGCGUACCUUUUGUAUAAUGGGUCAGCGACUUAUAUUCUGUAGCAAGGUUAACCGUAUAGGGGAGCCGCAGGGAAACCGAGUCUUAACUGGGCGUUAAGUUGCAGGGUAUAGACCCGAAACCCGGUGAUCUAGCCAUGGGCAGGUUGAAGGUUGGGUAACACUAACUGGAGGACCGAACCGACUAAUGUUGAAAAAUUAGCGGAUGACUUGUGGCUGGGGGUGAAAGGCCAAUCAAACCGGGAGAUAGCUGGUUCUCCCCGAAAGCUAUUUAGGUAGCGCCUCGUGAACUCAUCUUCGGGGGUAGAGCACUGUUUCGGCUAGGGGGUCAUCCCGACUUACCAACCCGAUGCAAACUACGAAUACCGAAGAAUGUUAUCACGGGAGACACACGGCGGGUGCUAACGUCCGUCGUGAAGAGGGAAACAACCCAGACCGCCAGCUAAGGUCCCAAAGUCAUGGUUAAGUGGGAAACGAUGUGGGAAGGCACAGACAGCCAGGAUGUUGGCUUAGAAGCAGCCAUCAUUUAAAGAAAGCGUAAUAGCUCACUGGUCGAGUCGGCCUGCGCGGAAGAUGUAACGGGGCUAAACCAUGCACCGAAGCUGCGGCAGCGACACUAUGUGUUGUUGGGUAGGGGAGCGUUCUGUAAGCCUGCGAAGGUGACCUGUGAGGGUUGCUGGAGGUAUCAGAAGUGCGAAUGCUGACAUAAGUAACGAUAAAGCGGGUGAAAAGCCCGCUCGCCGGAAGACCAAGGGUUCCUGUCCAACGUUAAUCGGGGCAGGGUGAGUCGACCCCUAAGGCGAGGCCGAAAGGCGUAGUCGAUGGGAAACAGGUUAAUAUUCCUGUACUUGGUGUUACUGCGAAGGGGGGACGGAGAAGGCUAUGUUAGCCGGGCGACGGUUGUCCCGGUUUAAGCAUGUAGGCUGAUUGUCCAGGCAAAUCCGGAUAAUCAAGGCUGAGGUGUGAUGACGAGGCACUACGGUGCUGAAGUAACAAAUGCCCUGCUUCCAGGAAAAGCCUCUAAGCAUCAGGUAACAUUAAAUCGUACCCCAAACCGACACAGGUGGUCAGGUAGAGAAUACCAAGGCGCUUGAGAGAACUCGGGUGAAGGAACUAGGCAAAAUGGUGCCGUAACUUCGGGAGAAGGCACGCUGGUGUGUAGGUGAAGUCCCUGCGGAUGGAGCUGAGACCAGUCGAAGAUACCAGCUGGCUGCAACUGUUUAUUAAAAACACAGCACUGUGCAAACACGAAAGUGGACGUAUACGGUGUGACGCCUGCCCGGUGCCGGAAGGUUAAUUGAUGGGGUUAUCCGUAAGGAGAAGCUCUUGAUCGAAGCCCCGGUAAACGGCGGCCGUAACUAUAACGGUCCUAAGGUAGCGAAAUUCCUUGUCGGGUAAGUUCCGACCUGCACGAAUGGCGUAAUGAUGGCCAGGCUGUCUCCACCCGAGACUCAGUGAAAUUGAACUCGCUGUGAAGAUGCAGUGUACCCGCGGCAAGACGGAAAGACCCCGUGAACCUUUACUAUAGCUUGACACUGAACAUUGAGCCUUGAUGUGUAGGAUAGGUGGGAGGCUUUGAAGCGUGGACGCCAGUCUGCGUGGAGCCAACCUUGAAAUACCACCCUUUAAUGUUUGAUGUUCUAACGUUGGCCCCUGACCGGGGUUGCGGACAGUGUCUGGUGGGUAGUUUGACUGGGGCGGUCUCCUCCCAAAGCGUAACGGAGGAGCACGAAGGUUAGCUAAUCCUGGUCGGACAUCAGGAGGUUAGUGCAAUGGCAUAAGCUAGCUUGACUGCGAGCGUGACGGCGCGAGCAGGUGCGAAAGCAGGUCAUAGUGAUCCGGUGGUUCUGAAUGGAAGGGCCAUCGCUCAACGGAUAAAAGGUACUCCGGGGAUAACAGGCUGAUACCGCCCAAGAGUUCAUAUCGACGGCGGUGUUUGGCACCUCGAUGUCGGCUCAUCACAUCCUGGGGCUGAAGUAGGUCCCAAGGGUAUGGCUGUUCGCCAUUUAAAGUGGUACGCGAGCUGGGUUUAGAACGUCGUGAGACAGUUCGGUCCCUAUCUGCCGUGGGCGCUGGAGAAUUGAGGGGGGCUGCUCCUAGUACGAGAGGACCGGAGUGGACGCAUCACUGGUGUUCGGGUUGUCAUGCCAAUGGCACUGCCCGGUAGCUAAAUGCGGAAGAGAUAAGUGCUGAAAGCAUCUAAGCACGAAACUUGCCCCGAGAUGAGUUCUCCCUGAGACUUUAAGUCUCCUGAAGGAACGUUGAAGACGACGACGUUGAUAGGCCGGGUGUGUAAGCGCAGCGAUGCGUUGAGCUAACCGGUACUAAUGAACCGUGAGGCUUAACCUU